rnacentral:rRNA from 1 species
UACGAAGGGGGCUAGCGUUGCUCGGAAUCACUGGGCGUAAAGCGCGCGUAGGCGGCUCGGAAAGUCGGGCGUGAAAUGCCGGGGCUCAACCCCGGGACUGCGUCCGAUACUUCCGAGCUGGAGGUAGGUAGGGGAGAUCGGAAUUCCAGGUGUAGCGGUGAAAUGCGUAGAUAUCUGGAGGAACACCGGUGGCGAAGGCGGCAAUCCUGGACCGACACUGACACUGAGGAGCGAAAGCCAGGGGAGCAAACGGG